ensembl:miRNA Mir3471-1 microRNA 3471-1
AAAGGAGCUUCAGUUGAGCCUCCAUGAGAUCCAACUGUAAGGCAUUUCCUCAGUUAGUGCUGUUAUGCUGCUAGUGUAUGCUCUGUCCAGUUUCUUUUUGGAGGUAUUUAGAGCUAUGAGUUUUCCUUUUA